AGCAGCCGCGGUAAUUCCAGCUCCAAUAGCGUAUAUUAAAGUUGCUGCAGUUAAAAAGCUCGUAGUUGAAUUUCGGGACCAUCAUGUCGGUCGUGCCUUGGUACGUACUGGCAUUAUUGGUUUCUACCUUCUGAGGAACCUCGAUGUCAUUAAUUUGGUGUCUUGGGGAAUCAGGACUGUUACUUUGAAAAAAUUAGAGUGUUUAAAGCAGGCUCGCGCUUGAAUACAUUAGCAUGGAAUAAUGAAAUAGGACGUUUGAUUCUAUUUUGUUGGUUUCUAGGAUUGACGUAAUGAUUAAUAGGGAUAGUUGGGGGCAUUAGUAUUCAAUUGGCAGAGGUGAAAUUCUUGGAUUUAUUGAAGACUAACUACUGCGAAAAGCAUUUGCCAAGGAUGUUUUCAUUAAUCAAGAACGGAAGUUAGGGGAUCGAAGACGAUCAGAUACCGUCGUAGUCUUAACCAUAAACUAUGCCGACUA
rnacentral:rRNA from 1 species